rnacentral:lncRNA from 1 species
CUGGUCUCUGUUGCAGGUGCUUCGCUGAGCGGCGAGAAACUUGUUCCAAAAGUGACUGGGAUGAGGGUGCUUGGCCGAAGCUCUGUCCCAUUCACCUUGCCAAAGAGUCCAACUAGGAACAAACAGGGAUAUCCAAAGAUUCCCCGAGAGAGCCCAAGACACAGGCACGAUGAUUAAAUCUCUGAAAACAAAGGAUUUCCCCCCGGAAUCAUUACCUCAAAGGUAUGCUGUUUUUCGGGAGAAUCGUGAUGAAAGCGAUUGUACUUGAGCGUGUGCACGCAUGAUGAUCAUAG